rnacentral:rRNA from 1 species
AACGAACGCUGGCGGCAUGCCUAACACAUGCAAGUCGAACGAGAUCUUCGGGUCUAGUGGCGCACGGGUGCGUAACGCGUGGGAAUCUGCCCUCAGGUUCGGAAUAACCAUUGGAAACGAUGGCUAAUACCGGAUGAUGACGUUAAGUCCAAAGAUUUAUCGCCUGAGGAUGAGCCCGCGUAGGAUUAGCUAGUUGGUGUGGUAAAGGCGCACCAAGGCGACGAUCCUUAGCUGGUCUGAGAGGAUGAUCAGCCACACUGGGACUGAGACACGGCCCAGACUCCUACGGGAAGCAGCAGUGGGGAAUAUUGGACAAUGGGCGAAAGCCUGAUCCAGCAAUGCCGCGUGAGUGAUGAAGGCCUUAGGGUUGUAAAGCUCUUUUACCCGGGAUGAUAAUGACAGUACCGGGAGAAUAAGCGCCGGCUAACUCCGUG